rnacentral:rRNA from 1 species
CGUAGGUGGCAAGCGUUGUCCGGAAUUAUUGGGCGUAAAGCGCGCGCAGGUGGGAAUCUAAGUCUGUCUUAAAAGUGCGGGGCUCAACCCCGUGAUGGGAUGGAAACUGGGUUUCUUGAGUGCAGGAGAGGACAGUGGAAUUCCCAGUGUAGCGGUGUAAUGCGUAGAUAUUGGGAGGAACACCAGUGGCGAAGGCGACUGUCUGGACUGUGUCUGACACUGAGGCGCGAAAGCCAGGGUAGUGAACGGGAUUAGAUACCCCGGUAAUCCUGGCCGUAAACGAUGGGUACUAGGUGUUGGGGGUAUCGACCCCUCCAGUGCCGGAGUUAACGCAAUAAGUACCCCGCCUGGGGAGUACGGCCGCAAGGUUG